UACGUAGGGGGCAAGCGUUGUCCGGAUUUAUUGGGCGUAAAGAGCGUGUAGGCGGUUAGGUAGGUCCGUUGUGAAAACUCGAGGCUCAACCUCGAGACGCCGAUGGAAACCAUCUAACUAGAGUCCGGAAGAGGAGAGUGGAAUUCCUGGUGUAGCGGUGAAAUGCGCAGAUAUCAGGAGGAACACCCGUGGCUAAGGCGGCUCUCUAGUACGGUACUGACGCUGAGACGCGAAAGCGUGGGGAGCGAACAGG
rnacentral:rRNA from 1 species